GGAUGAACGCUGGCGGCGUGCCUAAUACAUGCAAGUCGAGCGAACGGACGGGAAGCUUGCUUCUCUGAUGUUAGCGGCGGACGGGUGAGUAACACGUGGAUAACCUACCUAUAAGACUGGGAUAACUUCGGGAAACCGGAGCUAAUACCGGAUAAUAUUUUGAACCGCAUGGUUCAAAAGUGAAAGACGGUCUUGCUGUCACUUAUAGAUGGAUCCGCGCUGCAUUAGCUAGUUGGUAAGGUAACGGCUUACCAAGGCAACGAUGCAUAGCCGACCUGAGAGGGUGAUCGGCCACACUGGAACUGAGACACGGUCCAGACUCCUACGGGAGGCAGCAGUAGGGAAUCUUCCGCAAUGGGCGAAAGCCUGACGGAGCAACGCCGCGUGAGUGAUGAAGGUCUUCGGAUCGUAAAACUCUGUUAUUAGGGAAGAACAUAUGUGUAAGUAACUGUGCACAUCUUGACGGUACCUAAUCAGAAAGCCACGGCUAACUACGUG
rnacentral:rRNA from 1 species